GAUGAACGCUGGCGGCGUGCCUAAUACAUGCAAGUCGAACGCUGGAACUCUAGCUUGCUAGAUUGAAGGAGUGGCGAACGGGUGAGUAAUACAUAAGCAACCUACCCACGAAGACUGGGAUAAUCUCUGGAAACGGGGACUAAUACCGGAUAGGUAAUCGGAAGGCAUCUUCUGAUUAUUAAAGGUUAAAAACACUGGUGGAUGGGCUUAUGGCGCAUUAGUUAGUUGGUGAGGUAACGGCCCACCAAGACGAUGAUGCGUAGCCGGCCUGAGAGGGUGAGCGGCCACAUUGGGACUGAGACACGGCCCAGACUCCUACGGGAGGCAGCAGUAGGGAAUUUUCGGCAAUGGGGGAAACCCUGACCGAGCAACGCCGCGUGAGUGAUGACGGCCUUCGGGUUGUAAAGCUCUGUUGUAAGGGAAGAACGGUAGAUAGAGAAUAUCUAAAUGACGGUACCUUACCAGAAAGCCACGGCUAACUACGU
rnacentral:rRNA from 1 species